rnacentral:rRNA from 1 species
UACGAAGGGGGCUAGCGUUGCUCGGAAUGACUGGGCGUAAAGGGCGCGUAGGCGGCUUGCACCGUCAGAUGUGAAAUUCCUGGGCUUAACCUGGGGGCUGCACUUGAUACGUGUGGGCUUGAGUGCGGAAGAGGGUCGUGGAAUUCCCAGUGUAGAGGUGAAAUUCGUAGAUAUUGGGAAGAACACCGGUGGCGAAGGCGGCGACCUGGUCCGUGACUGACGCUGAGGUGCGAGAGCGUGGGGAGCGAACCGG